UGGCCCAUGGGGGGGUCGAACCACGAUCUUCGCGCAUAGCACGACGCUCUAACCAACUGAGCUAAUGGGCC